CGUUGAAAGCAUUCAGCUCCAGAGAAGGAAAGAAAGAAACACCAAACCCUUACGGUGAACUCCGAACGCCGUAUCUCCUCCGUCCGAGCUCCGAUCGCCGCACCGUUUGUGGCCACGCGACCACCGCAUCGAGCUCUACGUUUCUACCGGAACAAUUUCAUAGGUUGUGAAUAAAUAAUUGGAGCUUGAAAUUGUGAAUAUUGGAACUUGGAGGAAGCUGAUUAGUUGAAUUUUGAAGGGGUGCCUUGGUUUUAAAUAAUUUGCUUUGGUCGUUAUGUGGAAAUCGGCCAAGAUGCAGGUCGAGAGGCAUCUCGUUAGGCGUCUAGACUCUUGAGGCGGAGUGGUUACUGGGAUAUUUUGUUAUGCUAUGAUGUAUAUAUAUGUACUUAGCUUUCUCUCCGCAUGACUCAUUCUUUUUGAUCCUCUUAGAGGUUUAUGGAGAGGCAGGAUUGUGUAUAUGUACUUUUGGGUUUUGGAU